rnacentral:tRNA from 1 species
GCCUUCGUGGUGUAGUGGUCAGCACAUUGGACGCGUAUUCCUGAGGUCUGUGGUUCGAGUCCCGGCGAAAGCA